UCACCAGAUGACCAUAAACAGCCAUGUAUCGCUUAACAAUGGGAACACAUUCUGAGAAAUGCAUCGUUAGGCGAUUUCGUUGUUGUGUGAACAUCA